rnacentral:ribozyme from 1 species
GGGGCAUCCGCCCCUUCCUAAUGCAGCCACCGGCCUAUAGCCGGUGCAGGUCACAAGCCCUGAUCAAUGCAGAGUGGGAA